rnacentral:rRNA from 1 species
GACGAACGCUGGCGGCGUGCCUAAUACAUGCAAGUUGAGCGCUGAGGGUUGGUUCUUGUACCGUCUGGAUGAGCCGCGCACGUGUGAGUAACGCGUGGGGAAUCUCCCUUUGAGCGGGGGACAACCUUUGGAAACGAAUGCUAAUACCGCAUAAAAACUUUCAACACAAGUUUUAAGUUUGAAAGAUGCCAUUGCAUCACUCACUGAUGAUCCCGCGUUGUAUUAGCUAGUUGGUGAGGUAAAGGCUCACCAAGGCGAUGAUACAUAGCCGACCUGAGAGGAUGAGCGGCCACAUUGGGAGGGUGACACGGCCCAAAGGGCUAGAGGAAGCAGCAGUAGGGAAUCGGCGGGAAUGGACGAAAGUCUGACCGAGCAAGGCGGAGUGAGGGAAGAAGGUCGUCGGAUCGGAAAACACUGUUGGUAGAGAAGAACGUGGGUGAGAGUGGAAAGAAGAGCAAGUGACGGUAACGAGCCAGAAAGGGACGGAUAACUACGUG